AUGCUCUGCCGUCUCCUCUCCCUGCUGCUCCUGGCCGCCCUUCUCGCCGCCGCGGCUGGGCACGGGGAUUCCUCCGCGUCCUCAUGCCCCUUCCACGGCGGCCACGACGAGAAGCCCCACGAACACCAUGACCACGGGCACAGCUGUGGGGGCGCCCUCGAUGAUUCCAAUCACGAGCACCACCACCACCACAGCCACCAUCACCGCGACGAGAUCCAGCGGCUGCUUCCGGAGGAACUGGCCGAGGAGGCGGAUCUCGAGCUCGAGGGCUUCGACCACGACCACCAUCACCACCAUGAUCACCACCACGACCACAUCCACGGCGAUUUCCACCCAGAGUCAACAUCCAUGGGCGUGUGGUUGAGAGCGAUGGGGUGCUCGCUGCUGGUUAGCAUGGCGUCGCUCGUCUGCCUCAUCCUCCUCCCAGUAAUCUUGUUUCAGGGGAAACCGUCGAAGGCCGUUGUGGAUGCACUUGCAGUGUUUGGGGCAGGCGCAAUGCUUGGAGAUUCAUUCCUUCAUCAACUGCCUCAUGCUUUUGGUGGAGGACACUCUCAUUCACACAAUCAUGAGGAUCAUGAUCAUGCUCAGGAGCAUUCACACGCACACUCCCUGAAAGAUCUUUCUGUUGGCUUGUCCAUUUUAUUUGGUAUUGUAUUGUUCUUUAUUGUCGAGAAGAUUGUGAGGUACGUUGAGGACAAUUCUCAAAGGGGGGGUCAUAGCCAUGGGCACCAUCAUCACCAUCAUAAACGACAAGACAUUAGUGAUAAGGCCAAGUCGGGUCACAUAAAAAGUGACGAUGAGGGUAAAGACACAGAUCAAGCACAACAAAAUUCUUCGCAUGAUGGCGCAACUGGAAAAAUAAUAGAUGCUGAAAAUGAGCAAGAAUCAAAUGCUACUAAGGAAGCCGUUUUAGGAUCACAGAGACCAGCUUUGGACGUGGUGCCUGGUGCCACCGACAGAGAGCCUAUCAAUUCUGAAACUGAUCCUGCCCCUGGCAAAGCAUUAUCGAGUGAAGAUUCCUCUGUUUCAAACUCCAACCUCGUGUUUGGCUAUCUCAAUCUUUUCUCAGAUGGUGUGCAUAACUUCACUGAUGGGAUGGCUCUUGGAAGUGCUUUUCUGCUACAUGGUUCUGUUGGAGGAUGGUCUAGAACUCUAUUUCUACUCGCUCAUGAACUUCCUCAAGAGAUUGGGGAUUUUGGGAUUCUGGUUCGCUCAGGAUUCACCGUAUCUAAAGCCCUGUUUUUCAACUUUCUCUCUGCGCUGGUUGCUCUGGGUGGGACAGCACUGGCACUGUCUUUGGGAACGGAUCCAGGACAUUCCUCUUUGAUUGAGGGAUUUACUGCUGGUGGUUUUAUUUACAUUGCUGUUGCCGGAGUCCUCCCACAGAUGCAUGAUCAGAAAACUACGCUAAGCAACUCAAUGUGUCAGUUGAUUUUCCUGACAAUGGGAAUGCUGGUCGCUCUUGGGAUAUCUUUGGUAGAAUGA
rnacentral:rRNA from 1 species